rnacentral:rRNA from 1 species
AUUGAACGCUGGCGGCAGGCCUAACACAUGCAAGUCGAGCGGAGCGGCGGACGGGUGAGUAAUGCCUAGGAAUCAGCCUGGUGGUGGGGGAUAACGCCCGGAAACGGGCGCUAAUAACGCAUACUUUCAGAUGAGCCUAGGUCGGAUUAGCUAGUUGGUGGGGUAAAGGCCUACCAAGGCGACGAUCCGUAACUGGACUGAGAGGAGGAUCAGUCACACUGGAACUGAGAAACGGUCCAGACUCCUACGGGAGGCAGCAGUAGGGAAGAUUGGGCAAUGGGCGAAAGUCUGAUCCAGCAAUGCCGCGUGUGUGAAGAAGGUUUUCGGAUUGUAAAGCUCUUUAAGUAGGGAGGCGUUACCUACAGAGUAAGCCACGGCUAACUACGUGCCAGCCGCCGCGGUAAUAC